UCCUAGGUUUUAUGCUGGUAAAGAAUCCGCCUGCAAUGCAGGAGACCUGGGUUCAAUCCCUGGCUUGGGAA
rnacentral:tRNA from 1 species